UACGGGGGGGGCAAGCGUUGUUCGGAAUUACUGGGCGUAAAGGGCGCGUAGGCGGCCUUAUAAGUCAGAUGUGAAAGCUCUGGGCUCAACCCAGGAAUUGCAUUUGAGACUGAAUAGCUAGGGUGCGGUAGAGGGAAGCGGAAUUUCCGGUGUAGCGGUGAAAUGCGUAGAUAUCGGAAGGAACAUCAGUGGCGAAAGCGGCUUCCUGGACCAGCACCGACGUUCAGGCACGAAAGCGUGGGGAGCAAACAGG
rnacentral:rRNA from 1 species